rnacentral:lncRNA from 1 species
AACGAUGUCUCUAAAGUUCUUUUGAGACUAAACAAUAAAACCAACACUUCCACACUUGAAAUGGAGGUAUGAGUGCUUAAAAAAUAAUUGAAACUCCUUGGUAAGUCUAUAAUUCUUUGUUUAGGAGCUAGGCAAAAUAUCUUUUGGGGGAGUCAUUUUCUUGAUAUAAAAAAUGGCCAGAUGCAAUCAUUUUCUUGAGGCUCUUGCAUUAUCCAUGGUUUCUUUUUUCUUUUUAUAAAUACAUUACAUUUUAUUGCAGCUACAUGCUUGCUGUAAUUACUAGAUUGUAGUUAGGCAAUUUACAAAUCUACUAUAAAUUUCUUUUUAAACUUCACUCUUCCUCUGUAGCUCUUUAUGAAAAAAAAUCAUUGAAAAGAUUUAUUCAUUGAUUCUCUACAGAGCCAGCAAAGGGAUAGAAACAAACUGUUGAACAAGAUUUCUUUCAUUUUUAAAAAAACUCUUCAAGCAUAUACUCCCAUAGAGUACUGGAUGAUUAAAAAGAUUCUUCAGACUUAAUUUCUGGGUAUUUUCUUCAAUUUGCCAUAAAUGUUCACAGGUAUAUAUUGUUUAUAGGUAUGGGAGUGGAUGUAUCUUACAAAGUAGCCAGGAAUCAGUACAGAAGUUUCAGUCUGCAUCAGCAGUUUGAGCCAGAGAAAGUUUAGCUAUGUUUUCUUUAAAUCAAUAAGACACAGUGAUGUUAAACAUGGGUCAUAUGGGACACUGCAGCUUUGCACUAAUGUCAGAAUCCCUGCUGCAAGAGAUGGCAUUGACACUUGGGUUACAGACAGAGUUGACCAGUCUUUCAUGCAGCCCGCUGGGAUGAAUCAGAUUUAUCAUAUAUACUCAUGUAUAAGUCGACCUCAUAUACAAAGUUGGGGGCCAAAAUGUGGAUGUCUAUAAGGCAGUUCUAGCUGUUUUUCUCUAAGAUUUCUUUAAGAUUUCAUAAAUUUCUAAGAUUUAUGAAAAGGCCUCCCUCGGAGUACAUACUAUUGGGCUAUUGGAUUAUGACCUGUUAGGAUCAUAACCUAAGGGGAUUAUGAUCUGUUAGGAUCAUAACCUAUUGGGUAGCAGAGUUUCAGAAGUGUUCCUUUAGCUUAUUGGGUAAUGGAUGAUCACUGGGCACAUAAAUAUCUUGUUUCUAUUUGAUGCUCUCAGCAGACAAAGAUUCAAGUAGACUUCUUCAAAAUAGCAUGUUGGUUUAACUCACAACUUCAUGUACUUAAUAUACAGGUACAUUUCUUGUCAGGUUAAACUUUAAAAUGUUUCAGUUUGUAUCUUUAAUUUUAGUCUUUAAUAGUCUCUUCAAAGCUAUAUUGUUUUGUACACCUCUCUUUAAUAGCAGUCUACUUCCAAGGAAACACAAGCCUCAACUGACUUCUAACAUUGACUUCUGUCCUUAAACAAGCACAAGACUCAAUGUCUUCUAACUCCUAACGCUGGCUUCUGCACUCUAACAGACUCAAGCUUCAACUGUUCUCUAACUGUCAUCCUUUUAAAAACUGAACAUUCUAAACAGUCACUGAACCAGUCACAUGGUCUGCAGUAGCCCCUCCCACUGCUUCAAGUACAUAGAGCUAAGAAACGGCAAACCAAAGAAGACAUACACUUCAGGAAAUAAACCGACACAUUAUAAAACAGACAAAAUAUUAAAUAAAUAAAAGGGCCUUGAGAAGGUUGCUGUCUCCAACAUAUACCUCUACCACAACAGUUUUAAUCUCUUGCAAAUUAGUUUGAAGACCCACAUAUUGACUUUUCUCAUGCCAAUUCUGGACUCAAAUAAGAAUGAAAAAACCAUGCUGCUUGUGAUCUGCUGAAAUGAAUUCCUGUCACAAUUUUUGUGACUUGGAUGUUGUAUAAUAAAAUUACUUUUUAUUCAUCCUUAUACAUAACAGCAAGACAGCAGAUUUUGCCUAUGAUCACAGAACAGCAAGAGUAACUAUAAAUCCAUCUAUUACAGUAAGAGAAAUUUGUAAUGUUAUAAGACUGCUAAAGGAAAGACAACAGGCCCAGGUAUUAUAAAUAUUUUG